CCUACGGGUGGCAGCAGUGGGGAAUAUUGCGCAAUGGGCGAAAGCCUGACGCAGCGACGCCGCGUGAGUGAUGAAGGUCUUCGGAUCGUAAACCUCUGUCAUCAGGGAAGAACGGUCACUGUGCUAAUCAUCAGUGAAUUGACGGUACCUGCAAAGGAAGCACCGGCUAACUCCGUGCCAGCAGCCGCGGUAAUACGUAGGGUGCGAGCGUUAUCCGGAUUUAUUGGGUUUAAAGGGCGCGCAGUCGGCCUGUUAAGUCAGCGGUAAAAUCCCGGGGCUAAACCGCGGAGAGCCGUUGAAACUGGCGGGCUGGAGUGGGAGAGAAGUACGCGGAAUGCGAGGUGUAGCGGUGAAAUGCUUAGAUAUCGCGCAGAACGCCGAUUGCGAAGGCGGCGUACCGGCUCCAAACUGACGCUGAGGCACGAAAGCGUGGGUAUCGAACAGGAUUAGAUACCCGAGUAGUC
rnacentral:rRNA from 1 species